rnacentral:rRNA from 1 species
AGUGAACGCUGGCGGUAGGCCUAACACAUGCAAGUCGAACGGCAGCACAGUAAGAGCUUGCUCUUACGGGUGGCGAGUGGCGGACGGGUGAGGAAUACAUCGGAAUCUACUUUUUCGUGGGGGAUAACGUAGGGAAACUUACGCUAAUACCGCAUACGACCUACGGGUGAAAGCAGGGGAUCUUCGGACCUUGCGCGAUUGAAUGAGCCGAUGUCGGAUUAGCUGGUUGGCGGGGUAAAGGCCCACCAAGGCGACGAUCCGUAGCUGGUCUGAGAGGAUGAUCAGCCACACUGGAACUGAGACACGGUCCAGACUCCUACGGGAGGCAGCAGUGGGGAAUAUUGGACAAUGGGCGCAAGCCUGAUCCAGCCAUACCGCGUGGGUGAAGAAGGCCUUCGGGUUGUAAAGCCCUUUUGUUGGGAAAGAAAAGCAGCAGGUUAAUACCCCGCUGUUCUGACGGUACCCAAAGAAUAAGCACCGGCUAACUCCGUG